CCCUUAGAUGUCCUGGGCUGCACGCGCGCUACACUGAUGCGCUCAACGAGUUUACGAUCUUGCCUGAAAUGGCUGGGUAAUCUUUUUAAAACGCAUCGUGACGGGGAUAGAUUAUUGCAAUUAUUAAUCUUCAACGAGGAAUGCCUAGUAGGCGCAAGUCAUCAGCUUGCGUCGAUUACGUCCCUGCCCUUUGUACACACCGCCCGUCGCUCCUACCGAUUGGGUGUGCUGGUGAAAUGUUCGGAUCGGCCGUUUGUCGCGGUUUCCGCGUCAUGUGGCUGAGAAGUUCAUUAAACCCUCCCACCUAGAGGAAGGAGAAGUCGUAACA
rnacentral:rRNA from 1 species